rnacentral:lncRNA from 1 species
CAUGUAGCGAAUCACUUUCCAGCCAUAGUAGUGUACCCGCAAUGCGGCUCACUCCUCAUGAGGGAGCCUGUUUCAUUGUUAGAGCACAACCUAAUUAAGUUAUUGGUUCUGAAACUGAAGCAGACUUACAAAGGACUUUUUAUGAACUUCAGUUAUGCAAAGCAAGAUUUAACAAAUUUUAUUCCCUGAAGCUCUAAUCACGACCAUGAUCAUGAGUGAUUCAAGCAAAUAACCUGGUACUGAGCACUCCAUUUGUACCAGGCACUGUCCUAAAUGCUUUAUAUGUGUAGAACUAACAUAACUCUCACAAUAACCUUAUGAGGCAGCUGCAAUUAUCCGCAUUUUAUAGAUAAGGGAACUGAAGCACAGAGAGACUUUCACAAUAUUAUACAACUAAUGAUUGUGGCAGAGCCAGGAUCCAAAACCUGUGCUCUUAAGUACUUAUAUUGCAGUGUGACCCAUGUAUAUACCUAUUGUAUAUAAGCAAACAGAUUGAUGUCUGUUUAUGAGUUAUGGUAUGAAAUAAUUUUUAGUGCUUAUUAUAAAAUUAUAGUACCUUUUUUUAAAAAAUGUGUUUGCUUACUAUACCUAAAGAAUAAACUUUACUAAAUGGUUAAAAGUAACCUCAACCAACCAGAUGAGGGAAUUAUACUGAAAAUAAAUGUUCAGUAAAUGAAUGAAAGAAAUGAGUAGUAGUUUUAAAUACAGAGCAAACUGAAACUUUAUAGGGUUAUCAUUUAAAUCUAUCUGUGUGUUAAAAUCAUGCAUGUCUCCAAUUGCUGGACAUUUAGAUCAACUCCAGUU